CUACAUACUCUUGCUUGUAGAAUGCGAUAUGUUUGUUAUAGAAGUCAAAGAUUUAAAACUUUCACUUAAAAAUAGAAUUGUAUCACUUUUUCUUCUUUUGUGCCACAAAAAAUGCAUAAUGUACCACCAAAUCACUAAAUUGUGUCUGUGUUCCACUGACCUUUAAUUGUGCCACAUGUGGUACAAAUGUGCCAUGACUGGCAACGUUGCCUACUCCCUCCACGAUACCAAACGGUCAGAGAGAAAUGAGGCCUGUUCGUUUUGUCUGCACUGCUGAACUGGUGCACCAAGUUGAAGUGAGAAAAUCCACGUUUGUUUCACUUUAACUUAAUGCACCAGUUCAGCAGACAAAACGAACAGGUCUAUAGUUAAGUUGGGACCGUGUUGUCUCUUUUUAGCGUCAACUACCGUAGCUGAAAAUAUUGGUCCUGACCUGUAGAUGUGUAUGUACAGUGUGUGUGACAAAACCAAAUAAGCCAGUGGCUCAUAUUUAGUCGAAAUUUAUAUACAUAACAUUAUCUCAAAUGAUUGUAAGAUAAUGUUUAACAUAAUAAAACACCUACAGCGGACGCUAUUUUUCCUGCCAUUGAGUCGUGUCAACGCCGAGAUCAUUGUUUACUGGGCUUGCAUAAGCUAAUCUGUGUGACUAAAGUCAAAAAAAUUUAUAUAUGUUGUUGAAAUAUGUAUUAAUAUGUGUACCAAAUUUCAUUUUCAUAAUAAAUAGUUUUGUUACGAAAAAUUCA